UGGGGGCAACCCUGAUGCAGCGACGCCGCGUGAGCGAUGAAGCCCUUCGGGGUGUAAAGCUCUUUCGGCAGGGAAGAUUAUGACGGUACCUGCAGAAGCAGCUGCGGCUAACUACGUGCCAGCAGCCGCGGUAAUACGUAGGCAGCAAGCGUUGUUCGGAGUUACUGGGCGUAAAGGGUGUGUAGGCGGUUCUCUAAGUUUGGUGUGAAAUCUCCCGGCUCAACUGGGAGGGUGCGCCGAAAACUGGAGGGCUAGAGUACUGGAUGGGAGAGUGGAAUUCCUGGUGUAGCGGUGAAAUGCGUAGAUAUCAGGAGGAACACCUGUGGUGUAGACGGCUCUCUGGACAGUAACUGACGCUGAGACACGAAAGCGUGGGUAGCAAACAGGAUUAGAUACCCUGGUAGUCCACGCCCUAAACGAUGCAUAUUUGGUGUGGGCCAUUCAUUUGGUCUGUGCCGGAGCUAACGCGUUAAAUAUGCCGCCUGGGGAGUACG
rnacentral:rRNA from 1 species